rnacentral:lncRNA from 1 species
GAGAAAAAGUCAAAAAAGAAAAGCAGUGGAGCAGCAUUUGCAGAAGAAGACAGAGAAGAAGUGACGUGCGAGAGAAGAUGUGAAGGGCUUCAGCAGAAAAAAUAAUAAAAAGAAAGAAAAGGGGCCCCUGUUCAUCUUCGUCCGUGGAGCAGCCCAUUGCCGGCCUCGUCUGCAAGUGCCUGUGCCGUCCGCCGCGUACGUACCGCCGUGCUCACACCACCACCGCGCCAACUCUACCGACGUUUCUUCAACCCAAUCGACGCCACCGGUGGUCCAUUUGCUGCACACCCGAGCGAUUGACGUUGCUUUGCCGUACCGCCAUCCAACGCCGCCUACGAAUCCGUUCGGAGCCACCACCGGCUCGACGCCCCUGUUCCGCACCACCGCAGCCGACCCGUGUCACCACCGCCCACGAUGACCCCGACGCUACAGGUCUACGUGCAACCACCGACGCCAUCCCCUGUUUCUGCUGCUCUACUUUAGCCGUGCCCCGAAGUCCACGAUUUGCAGCGUCGCGACCCGCCUCCGUCAGCCCAGCACCACUGCAGCCGGAUCCGACACCCCUGCAGCAUCCGCCUUCGAGCCAGUCGACACGCCUCAUCCGCGACGCCCUGCCCCGACGCCGCGUCACCUCUGCUCGACCCGGUGCCCGACGCUCCCUGCUGCCUUGCCAACCGAACCCUUCGCCCGAGUGAUCCCCCGUUUUGUUGCAGGUCUACCUUUGCCAAACCUCGCUGGAGCUCCGACCACGGGGAGACUCCGACCGACGGUAACUUCCGACGACGCCGGACACCCUUUGACCGGCGCCAUUUACCACCGUCGCUGCUCCCAUUUUCCAAGCCUUGGGUAGUUUAUUUUUAUUUUUUAUUCUUUAUUUAUUUCAUGUUAUGUUAGCUUAUUUUUAAGUUUAAUUAUUUGAAUUGUAAUAUUGUAUGUCAAUAUUUGUAGACCUUGUAGACAUUAGAGGUUUUAUCCCAAAUUAUGGUAAUUAUUAAUUUGACCC